rnacentral:tRNA from 1 species
UCCAAUUUCCAAUCCAGAUUGGUAGGAUAGAGGACUGGAAAUCCUCGUUCCAAUCUAAUCUGGGUUGGAA